GAGCAUGUCCGCACAUGUCCCAGUGCUGCUGGCGCUCCGCCUCGCUCUUCUCCAGCUCACAUGAACCAGAAUUACUUAAGUGGAACUGGGAAAUGUUCUUCUCAUUGGACGCACACUCAUUCAUCACAGUUGAUAAAGCUGUCCAGAUCACUUGAAGCACUUGGAAAAGGCCUCAGGGCCCUUCUGGACAUCUUUGAUGACCAGGAAAUACAACUGACGUGCUUGCACAAAGAAAGGCCACAGAUCUCAGAAGUCUGACUUUCUUUAUGAGGGAGGAGCCAGACAACUCUCUGAAGACAUGUCUGGAUGCAGACUCAGAGGAAAUGUUUGUCAAAGGGGUUGAAGUCAUGGAACCGUGGAAUCAAAGGACCCGGUGGAAAAGCGUAAAGAAGCAUCCUGGGCCACGGCCGAUGCGCUAACGCGUCCACUCCCAGCGGAGGAUUGUCCCGCACGCUCAGAGAAAACCACAGAGCGCACUGUGCGUUUUCUCGAGAGGCGAACAGAUCCACCUCUGCUUUGCCGAACCUGCUCCAAAUCUGACUCACCAGAUCGGGAUGAAGGCUCCAAUCCCCGUGUCGAGGACCCUCCCCUCGACAUGAUGUCCGCUCCCGUGUUCAAAACACCGGGAAUAUACACUGCUCUGACUGACAGAAAGUGUGUGUGUGUCCACAGCAGCAGCCGCCUCGCUAUGUUCAGCAGCUGCGCGGAGCGCACUCCUCCUUGGAGAUUCAUGUAGGCUGCCGUCGCCUUGUUGUCUGUGCGGAUCAGGAUGUGCUGAUCCCGCUGCAGUGACGCAAAAUGCUGGAGUACUUUCCACACCGUGAGGAGCUCCAGUGCGUUGAUGUGGAGAGACAUGUGGUCUGGCCACUGUCCUCCCACCACUUGUGACAGACACGUCCCUCCCCAUCCCGAGAGAGAUGCGUCUGUGAACACUGAGAUGUGUGAUGCAGCUCUGCCCAGCGGCACUCCCGCUGACAGUGUGCGGGGAUUCUUCCAGUGGAUUAGAUCUGCAUUCACUGAGGGAGGAACGGUCACCAUGCGUCUUCGCUGACGCACAGGAUCGACGUGCAGACGAAUAAACCAUCUCUGUAGAUGUCUCAUGUGUAAUAGGCCCAGGGGCACUACCACGUGACCUGCUGACAUCAUGCCCAGCAGGCGCAUGACAGAGAGAGCUGUCACAACAUUGGGGGGCGUGACGCGGCGGAGAAGAGCUGUCAAAACCUCUACUCUCUGUCGUGAGAGCCGCGCUCUCAUGCUGACGGAGUCCAACUCCACCCCCAGAUACAUCACGGACUGGGCGGGGAGAGCAGAGCUUUUCUUCCAAUUUAUGGUGAAGCCCAGACACGA